UGGCGGACGGGUGAGUAAUGUCUGGGAAACUGCCCGAUGGAGGGGGAUAACUACUGGAAACGGUAGCUAAUACCGCAUAACGUCGCAGGACCAAAGAGGGGGACCUUAGGGCCUCUUGCCAUCGGAUGUGCCCAGAUGGGAUUAGCUAGUAGGUGGGGUAAUGGCUCACCUAGGCGACGAUCCCUAGCUGGUCUGAGAGGAUGACCAGCCACACUGGAACUGAGACACGGUCCAG
rnacentral:rRNA from 1 species